rnacentral:rRNA from 1 species
AUUGAACGCUGGCGGCAGGCCUAACACAUGCAAGUCGAGCGGAGCGGCGGACGGGUGAGUAAUGCCUAGGAAUCUGCCUGUUAGUGGGGGAUAACGUCCGGACACGGGCGCUAAUACCGCAUACUCUAAGAUCCGCCUAGGUCGGUAUAGCUAGUUGGGGGGGUAAAGGCCUACCAAGGCGACGAUCCGUAACUGGUGUGAGAGGAUGAUCAGUCCAACUGGAACUGAGAAACGGUCCAGACUCCUAAGGGAGGCAGCAGUGGGGAAUAUUGGACAAUGGGCGAAAGCCUGAUCCAGCCAUGACGCGUGUAUGAAGAAGGUCUUCGGAUUGUAAAGCACUUUAAGUUGGGAGGCGUUACCAACAGAAUAAGCACCGGCUAACUUCGUGCCAGCAGCCGCGGUAAUUC